UGCCCUAGUAACGGCGAGUGAAGCGGCAACAGCUCAAAUUUGAAAUCUGGCGUCUUCGGCGUCCGAGUUGUAAUUUGCAGAGGGCGCUUUGGCAUUGGCAGCGGUCCAAGUUCCUUGGAACAGGACGUCACAGAGGGUGAGAAUCCCGUACGUGGUCGCUAGCCUUUACCGUGUAAAGCCCCUUCGACGAGUCGAGUUGUUUGGGAAUGCAGCUCUAAAUGGGAGGUAAAUUUCUUCUAAAGCUAAAUACUGGCCAGAGACCGAUAGCGCACAAGUAGAGUGAUCGAAAGAUGAAAAGCACUUUGGAAAGAGAGUUAAAAAGCACGUGAAAUUGUUGAAAGGGAAGCGCUUGCAGCCAGACUUGCCUGUAGUUGCUCAUCCGGGUUUCUACCCGGUGCACUCUUCUACGGGCAGGCCAGCAUCAGUUUGGGCGGUUGGAUAAAGGUCUCUGUCAUGUACCUCUCUUCGGGGAGAACUUAUAGGGGAGACGACAUGCAACCAGCCUGGACUGAGGUCCGCGCAUCUGCUAGGAUGCUGGCGUAAUGGCUGUAAGCGGCCCGUCUUGAAACACGGACCAAGGAGUCUAACAUCUAUGCGAGUGUUUGGGUGUCAAGCCCGAGCGCGUAAUGAAAGUGAACGGAGGUGGGAACCUUUCGGGGUGCACCAUCGACCGAUCCUGAUGUCUUCGGAUGGAUUUGAGUAAGAGCAUAGCUGUUGGGACCCGAAAGAUGGUGAACUAUGCUUGAAUAGGGUGAAGCCAGAGGAAACUCUGGUGGAGGCUCGCAGCGGUUCUGACGUGCAAAUCGAUCGUCA
rnacentral:rRNA from 1 species